CAGUAUGCCUUCUUUUUCAUCAGUAAAUUCCUCUCAAAUAAGCAGAAGCAAUGUGUUUCUUCCACUGUAAAGCAGUGUUUAAAGUAGGAGCUCCUCUGACAGCAGAAAUUGACCAAGAGAAGAGCAACUAGAUGUUGACCAUGGGUGAUCAUCACCAAAAAAGGGAGCUGCCCAUGAAAUGCAAGUCAGAAGUCCAGGCACAGCUGAACUGGGUCCUCUGUUUAGGGCCACAGAAGGGUGCAAUCAUGAUUGGACCAGACCUGGGUUCUCAUCUAGAGGCUCUACUAGGGAAGGAUUCACUUCUCGACUCGUGUGGAUGUCAGCAGCAUUCAGUUCCUUAUGGCUAUCUGAUUCAUGUAUGA